CACCCCACGGUGAAGAUAGGCAUUUUGGGAGCGGGCUAGUACACCCCGCAAGGGGCGCUGGAACGUCCGUACAGCUAAAAGGAG
rnacentral:ncRNA from 1 species